GAGCAGAGGAUGCAAGCGUUAUCCGGAAUGAUUGGGCGUAAAGCGUCUGUAGGUGGCUUUUAAGUCCGCCGUCAAUCCCAGGCGUCAACCCUGGACAGGCGGUGGAAACUACCAAGCUGGAGUACGGUAGGGCAGAGGAAUUUCCGGUGGAGCGGUGAAAUGCGUAGAGAUCGGAAAGAACACCAACGGCGAAAGCAACUCUGCUGGGCCGACACUGACACUGAGAGACGAAAGCUAGGGGAGCGAAUGGG
rnacentral:rRNA from 1 species